rnacentral:rRNA from 1 species
AUUGAACGCUGGCGGCAGGCCUAACACAUGCAAGUCGAACGAGUGGCGCACGUGUGAGUCAUGUCUGGGAACCUCCCUGUUGGAGGGGGAUACCUUCUGGAAACGUUAGCUAAUACCGCAUACCAUCGCAUGUGCCCGGAUCGGAUUGGCUGUUAGUUGGGGUAAAGGGUCACAAAGACAACGAUCCCGAGCUGGUCUGAGAGGAUGACGAGCAACCCUGGAACUGAGACACGGUCCAGACCCCACCGGAAGGAAGAAGUGGGGAUUAUUGCACAAGGGGGGAAAGCCUGCUGAAGCAAUGCCGGGGGGAUGAGGAAGGCUGCAGGUUGGUAAAGUACUUUCAGCGGGGAGACGGUACCCGAACAAGAAGCACCGGCUAACUACGUGCCAGCAGCCGCGGUAAUAC